rnacentral:rRNA from 1 species
UACAGAGGGUGCAAGCGUUGUUCGGAAUUACUGGGCGUAAAGAGUCUGUAGGCGGACAUAUUAGUAUGAGGUUAAAGAUCGGGGCCUAACCCUGAGAGUGCUUCAUAAACGGUAUGUCUAGAGUAUCGGAGGGGAUAGUGGAAUUCUUGGUGUAGAGGUGAAAUUCGUAGAUAUCAAGAGGAACACCAGAGGCGAAGGCGACUAUCUGGCCGAGCACUGACGCUAAAGGACGAAAGCAUGGGGAUCAAACAGG